rnacentral:rRNA from 1 species
CCACACCACCCUGAACACGCCCAAUCUCGUCUGAUCUUGGAAGCUAAGCAGGGUUGGGCCUGGGUAGUACUGGGGUGGGAGAAAGCCCUAUACAUCAGAAACUUACAUAUGAAAACAGAAUG